UAAUAAUUACGUUAGUAGAGUUGAGGAUAGAGUUGAGGAUUGUUGCGACCAACAAAUCAGUUGAGUCCGAUAUUUACUUCGUGAAUUUAUAUGAUUUAAGUGACUUACGGUAAUUUAAGUGGUGAAACUAAGACGUAGUUGAGUGUUGUAUGAGACUUAUCAUGGUAAUAUGUUAUAUAAUCGGCUGUAAAAGCCGUAUUGACCAGAAAUUACGAGACAUAACCUUUCAUACUUAAGCAGAACGGCCGAAAUCAUGGCAGCAGUGGAACACCUUUUUUUCAUAUACGUGUUCCUGUUGCACGUUGUGUUUCCGAUUGUGUAAAAUAUAAUAAGUUCCAAAAUUACACAAAGUUUCUUCAAAUGUUAAUAAAAAUUACAUACAA